rnacentral:rRNA from 1 species
AGAGUUUGAUCAUGGCUCAGAUUGAACGCUGGCGGCAGGCUUAACACAUGCAAGUCGAGCGGGGGAAGGUAGCUUGCUACUGGACCUAGCGGCGGACGGGUGAGUAAUGCUUAGGAAUCUGCCUAUUAGUGGGGGACAACAUCUCGAAAGGGAUGCUAAUACCGCAUACGUCCUACGGGAGAAAGCAGGGGAUCUUCGGACCUUGCGCUAAUAGAUGAGCCUAAGUCGGAUUAGCUAGUUGGUGGGGUAAAGGCCUACCAAGGCGACGAUCUGUAGCGGGUCUGAGAGGAUGAUCCGCCACACUGGGACUGAGACACGGCCCAGACUCCUACGGGAGGCAGCAGUGGGGAAUAUUGGACAAUGGGGGGAACCCUGAUCCAGCCAUGCCGCGUGUGUGAAGAAGGCCUUAUGGUUGUAAAGCACUUUAAGCGAGGAGGAGGCUACUCUAGUUAAUACCUAGGGAUAGUGGACGUUACUCGCAGAAUAAGCACCGGCUAACUCUGUGCCAGCAGCCGCGGUAAUACAGAGGGUGCGAGCGUUAAUCGGAUUUACUGGGCGUAAAGCGUGCGUAGGCGGCUUAUUAAGUCGGAUGUGAAAUCCCCGAGCUUAACUUGGGAAUUGCAUUCGAUACUGGUGAGCUAGAGUAUGGGAGAGGAUGGUAGAAUUCCAGGUGUAGCGGUGAAAUGCGUAGAGAUCUGGAGGAAUACCGAUGGCGAAGGCAGCCAUCUGGCCUAAUACUGACGCUGAGGUACGAAAGCAUGGGGAGCAAACAGGAUUAGAUACCCUGGUAGUCCAUGCCGUAAACGAU